AUCAAGCGCUAUGAUGUCAUGCGGCUCCGGAGCCAAUCGCGAGACAAUAGAACUUUCGUGAUUGUAAAUUCCAGAAUCCGACGCAGUGGGGAACCGUGGUCUGGGUUGGUCCCCUCCGGUUCACGUGUCUCUGGGCAAUUUUAUCCCCUUUCUUCCUAAUAAGCCUGCGUGGAACGCAGAGCCUGCGCAAUAGCACCAGUGAAGUUCCCGAUGCCCUGAACUCUGAUUCUUUUAGUGCCAGGCGUGGCGAGGUUGUGUGGCCGCGUUUGGACAGCAGAAGCCAACUCUGGUGCAGUCUCCUCGCGGGUUCUGAAAGGGAGCCAGUUCUUCUUGGUUUUGGAUGAUAGGGUUAAAUGCCUGCGGAGAUCACCGGCGCGAACAAGAUAAGGCAACAACAAAAAAGCGCUCAAAACUGAUGCUAUAGCUUAACUCCUGCACUAUAAUGAGAUGAGAAAAUUGAGCCACAGAAGGGUUAAGUGACAUCGCAAGGCUGCAAAGCCAGUAAGUGAAAAAUUAAGAUUGAAUUCAGGUCUCAGUCCUCAACCUCUUUACGGGCUGAGCUUUGUCAAAGCUUCUUGACUUGCAUGCUUUGAUGAAGCAAGGUGCCAUGUUGGAGGUGCUCACAUAACAAGAAACUAAGGGUGGCUUCUAGCCAAUAGACUGCUAGGAACUGAGGUCCUCAAUAUGACAGCCUACAAGGAACAGAAUCCUGCCAACAAAGUGGAUCCUUACCCAGUGCAGCCUUGAAAUGACUACAGGCCCACUGGGCAUCUUGACUGUAGUCCAUGAGAAACCCUGGAGCAGAGAACCCACCUAAGUAAGUGAUGCCCCGAUUCCUCACCUACAGAAGCUUUGAGUUAAAAAUGUUGUGGCGGACUUCCCUGGUGGCGCAGUGGUUAACAAUCCGCCUGCCAAUGCAGGGGACACGGGUUCGAGCCCUGGUCCAGAAAGAUCUCACAUGCCGCGGAGCAACUAAGCCCGUGCGCCACAACUACUAAGCCUGCGCUCUAGAGCCUGCGUGCCACAACUACUGAAGCCCACGCACCUGGAGCCCGUGCUCCGCAACAAGAGAAGCCACCGCAAUGAGAAGCCCACGCACUGCAAGGAAGAGUGGCCCCUGCUCUCCGCAACCAGAGAAAAGCCUGCGCACAGCAGCGAAGGCCCAAUGCAGCCAAAAAAUAAAAUAAAUUUAUAUAAGAAAAAGGAUCUUCCCUGGUGGCACAGUGGUUAAGAAUCUGCCUGCCAAUGCAGGAGACAUGGGUUUGAGCCCUGGUCCAGGAAGAUCCCACAUGCCGCGGAGCAACUAAGCCUGUGCGCCACAACUACUGAGCCUGUGCUCUAGAGCCUGUGCUCCACAACAAGAGAAGCCACCGCGAUGAGAAGCCCGUGCACGGCAAUGAAGAGUAGCUCUCGCUAGCCGCAACUAGAGAAAAACCCCGCGCACAGCAACGAAGACCCAACGCAGCCAAAAAUAAAUAAUUUUAAAAAAGAAGUCACUAAGCUCUGAAAGUGUGAAAACCUGGGAAGUUGCGUUCUGGUUAAAUAAAUUAAGAAAAAUUCCCAAAGACUAGGGAUAAAGGGUGCUACAGUGAGUGUAUAGGAGAAGCACAAAAAAGACAAAAUGAAUAUUCAGGAAACAUUCAUGAAUAGUCUAUUCACUUCUUAAAUUUACCUGGGCACCUAGCCGGGUAUCUGCAAGUCAGUUAAUGCUACGUUGAUAUUUCCUGAAUGUUCUUUGGGGACCUGGUGUGUGCCAGGAAUUGAGAUAAUAAAACUACAAUACUUGGUAAAAAAGUGAUGUACCUUAAGAAGUGCAGAAAAAGGUGCCCCAGGAAUUCAGGUAUUGGAGAGGAUGAGAAAAGGGUUUUGAGGCAGCAGGGCCUUUGCAAAGGCUAUACACUCCACUUAAAACUGCCCACCUCCCCUUUUCCAGGUCUCAACUUAAAAGUCACCUUUUCAGGUAGGUCUCCCCUAUUACCCCGGCUAAAAUCAGUUCCUCACCUCCUUUCCCUCAGCCACUAGUUUACGCUCAAUUCACAGCACUUGACACAAUCUGCGACUGUUUCGCUUGCUAUUUUUAUCCCUACCUUCCCAAUUAGGCUUUAGACUUCGUGAU